AUUGAACGCUGGCGGCAGGCCUAACACAUGCAAGUCGAGCGAGCGGCGGACGGGUGAGUAAUAUCUGGGAAACUGCCUGAUGGAGGGGGAUAACUACUGGAAACGGUAGAGAUUACCGCAUACCAUCAGAUGUGCCCCGAUGGGGUUAGCUAGUAGGGGGGGUAACGGCGCACACAGGCGACGAUCCCUCGCUGGUCUGAGAGGAUGACCAGCCACACUGGAACUGAGACACUGUCCAGACUCCUACGGGAGGCAGCAGUGGGGAAUAUUGCACAAUGGGCGCAAGCCUGAUGCAGCCAUGCCGCGUGUGUGAAGAAGGCCUUCGGGUUGUAAAGCACUUUCAGCGAGGAGGCGUUACCCGCAGAAGAAGCACCGGCUAACUCCGUGCCAGCAGCCGCGGUAAUAC
rnacentral:rRNA from 1 species